AUUGAACGCUGGCGGAAUGCUUUACACAUGCAAGUCGAACGGUAGAGGGGGCAACCCCUUGAGAGUGGCGAACGGGUGAGUAAUAUAUCGGAACGUGCCCAGUCGUGGGGAUAACGUAGCGAAAGUUACGCUAAUACCGCAUACGAUCUAAGGAUGAGAGCGGGGGAUCGCAAGACCUCGCGCGAUUGGAGCGGCCGAUAUCAGAUUAGGUAGUUGGUGAGGUAAAGGCUCACCAAGCCAACGAUCUGUAGCUGGUUUGAGAGAACGACCAGCCACACUGGGACUGAGACACGGCCCAGACUCCUACGGGAGGCAGCAGUGGGGAAUUUUGGACAAUGGGCGCAAGCCUGAUCCAGCAAUGCCGCGUGCAGGAUGAAGGCCU
rnacentral:rRNA from 1 species